UACAGAGGGUGCGAGCGUUAAUCGGAAUUACUGGGCGUAAAGCGUGCGUAGACGGUUUCGUAAGUCGGGUGUGAAAUCCCCGGGCUCAACCUGGGAAUUGCAUUCGAAACUGCGAGGCUAGGGUACGGAAGAGGGAAGCGGAAUUUCUGGUGUAGCAGUGAAAUGCGUAGAUAUGUGGAGGAACACCGAUGGCGAAGGCAGCCCCCUGGGUCAAGACUGACGCUCAUGCACGAAAGCGUGGGGAGCAAACAGG
rnacentral:rRNA from 1 species